rnacentral:rRNA from 1 species
GCUUGUCUCAAAGAUUAAGCCAUGCAUGUCUAAGUAUAAAUAUCUAUACUGUGAAACUGCGUAUGGCUCAUUAAAUCAGUUAUAGUUUAUUUGAUGGUCCUUGCUACUUGGAUAACCGUAGUAAUUCUAGAGCUAAUACAUGCAUAAAUCCCCGACUGUUUGGAAGGGGUGUAUUUAUUAGAUGGAAACCAAUUCGGGGCAACCCGGCUCAUGGUGAUUCAUAAUAACUUUCGGAUCGACCUUUCGGUCGAUGCAUCAUUCAAGUUUCUGCCCUAUCAGUUUUGGAUGGUAGGGUAUUGGCCUACCAUGACUUUAACGGGUAACGGAGAAUUAGGGUUCGAUUCCGGAGAGGGAGCCUGAGAAAUGGCUACCACAUCCAAGGAAGGCAGCAGG